CAGUAGCCGCGGUAAUACGUAGGGGGCUAGCGUUGUUCGGAAUUACUGGGCGUAAAGCGCACGUAGGCGGAUAUUUAAGUCAGGGGUGAAAUCCCAGAGCUCAACUCUGGAACUGCCUUUGAUACUGGGUAUCUUGAGUAUGGAAGAGGUGAGUGGAAUUCCGAGUGUAGAGGUGAAAUUCGUAGAUAUUCGGAGGAACACCAGUGGCGAAGGCGGCUCACUGGUCCAUUACUGACGCUGAGGUGCGAAAGCGUGGGGAGCAGACAGGAUUAGAUACCCGGGUAGUCCCUGUCUCUUAUAA
rnacentral:rRNA from 1 species